rnacentral:lncRNA from 13 species
GUCUACUUAUAUGCCUGACCAAUAGCAACAGGGAUGCCGUCGAAUCAGACAUAUGACGACUCAACUCACACACACCUGUUUUUGGUUUGUUUUAACUGAACAACAAGCAGGGAUGGGGGUUCCAGGGGCAGUGAUGUGGCUUCCCUCUCUGUCCCCAUGUCUCUCAGUUCUAAACCCCCAUGUGUGCUGGCUACAUCCGAAGACUGGUGGCCCGCUACAUGCAGCCUUUCUAAGGGCCACAACCAGAUGAGAAAAUAUCCAGACACAAAGAAGAGACUGUUUCCUCCAGGAAAGAGAAACGCUUCCCCGAAGCUCCCGAUCGGAUUUCCGCUCCCACCUCACUGAACUUGGAUGCGUGUGGCCUGUGUGUGCGGCUACCAUGCUUUGGCCCUGGCAUCUGGAAGGGAGUACCGAUGGGGUCACCCCAGAACCCAUGACCUUCCAAGGCUGGGGGAUGUGCCCACAAACACAGUGGGCACUAAGAGGUUAUUCCCGGUACCCUGAAGCUGAGGGGCACGAACCCCACCACUACCCAGGCAGGGAUUCCGACCUGCACAGUGAGGUGUGGAUGCAGAAGCAUUGCCUCCUAAACACGCCCUGUCAAAAGCUCCAAGGUGGUGCUCAGGGUCCUUCAUGGUGGGCCCCCUGUCCCAAGGCCAGGGUGUGGGACACACUGAAGACAAGGGUCAGCGGGACUCAGGGCCAUGGUGUGGGACACACUGAAGAUAAGGGUCAGCGGGACUUAAGGCCAGGGUGUGGGACACACUGAAGACAAGGGUCAGCAGGACUCAAGGCCAGGGUGUGGGACACACUGAAGACAAGGGUCAGCGGGACUCAGGGCCACGGUGUGGGACACACUGAAGACAAGGUCAGCUGGACUCAAGGCCACGGUGUGGGACACACUGAAGACAAGGGUCAGCUGGACCCUGAUACAUCAGCGAAAAGACCCGAGUAAACUGCCAGACCCCAGUGCUGCAUCCAGAAUUUGUGCUUCCAUCAUGGGCCCCCAAACUUGAUUGCAUUCUGAGUAAACCUCCCUAGAGUCGCUUCUCUCCCCUCCAACCCGAAGAUGAAUAAGCACCACAUUCUCCCAGCAGGUGGCAAGAGGCAAGGGCAAGCGGAGGGGCUUGGUGUUCAGGUGCACCCCCGGCAGUCGCCAACGAAGCCUCCUCCCGGCUCCAGAGGCCCGGGCGCCUUUAGGGGUGGCCCCACUGCUCCAUAAGUUUGCCUGACUCUGGGUUGAUGAGGAGGCUUCCCUGGCUUUCCAUUCUUCCCAGUGAGCAGCUCUCCCUCUCCGCACACAGGAGGAGCUGUGAAUACUCCCUGGUCGCCACCAGUUCAGCCCCGUUUUCUGACCACCCUACAAUGGCUGGCAGAAUACCGCCUCUCCUUCUCCCACCAAAGAUGCCCACAACAUCAUCCCCAGAAACAAUGAGCACGGUGAUGUUAGCUUGCAGAGGGGAGAGGAUUUAUGCUGCUGAUCAGCUGAUGUUAAUUUAUGGGGAUUAUCCAGGUGGAACCGAGGUACCCAUGGGGCCCUUUCAACAUGGGAGAGAGAGGCGGAGGGCUGCGGGCAAGCAGAGACUGAAGAUGCCAGUCCGUUGCAUUUUCCAAUUCUAGAGUGUAACAUAACAGGUGCAAUACCUAGCACUGAAGGAAAGGGUUUACUACAGUUCUUCUGAAGGUGAGCAGAUGAUUUCAUGUUUCUCUGAUGGUUCAGUGAUGAAUGAACACAACCUGCAGGGUCCUGUUACAAACAGAAGUGUCAC